AUCGCGACGGCGAGUUCGGCGUGUUCUUUGCGCUAAACAGACUGGCUUCUUUCCAGCUGCGGCUGACGACAAAGCCUUCUGUUCCCCCGAACUGCACUACGGCGAUUUCGGGGGCUUUCUUGUGUUAAAUAGGUGUGCUUCUGCCCGGUGACAGCAAGGUGCGGCUGGUGCCAGAGCCACCGGUUUCUCCGGACUACGCCGAGGCGAGUUCGGGCAUUUCUCCUGUUUCCUAUAGGUGUGCGUCUGCCCGGUGACAGCAAGGUACGGCGAUUUCCCCCGGACUACGCCGAGGCGAGUUCGGGCUUUUCUUCUGUUUCCUAUAGGUGUGCGUCUGCCCGGUGACAGCAAGGUGCGGCUGGUGCCAGAGCAACCGGUUUCUCCGGACUACGCCGAGGCGAGUUCGGGCAUUUCUCCUGUUUCCUAUAGGUGUGCGUCUGCCCGGUGACAGCAAGGUACGGCUGGUGCCAGAGCCACCGAUUUUCUCCAUGGAGAAGCUCCAUCCCUGCAGCACCGGUUGCGAUGGCCUCGCAUGCUGCGAUGGGGUUCGCGACUCGGUAGGGGGCAUCAACAGAAGAAUGAUGAAGCUGGCGCUCCUACAGCCCACCUUGCACUUCAAAAUGCAAAACAGACAACAGAACUGCAAAAGGCAAAGAUAAUUAGUCUGGAGGAAAAGGUGACAUCCUUAAUAGAAGAAAGAAAUUAUCUUUGUGGAAGACUUGAGGACAGUAAGUACACAAAAAGGGGUUUUUGUAUCUGUUGGUCCUGGAUUUUGUAAAGUUGCUUUGAGACAAUGUCUAUUGUAAAA